UACGUAGGUGGCAAGCGUUAUCCGGAAUUAUUGGGCGUAAAGCGCGCGCAGGCGGUUUUUUAAGUCUGAUGUGAAAGCCCACGGCUCAACCGUGGAGGGUCAUUGGAAACUGGGAAACUUGAGUGCAGAAGAGAAGAGUGGAAUUCCACGUGUAGCGGUGAAAUGCGUAGAGAUGUGGAGGAACACCAGUGGCGAAGGCGACUCUUUGGUCUGUAACUGACGCUGAGGAGCGAAAGCAUGGGGAGCGAACAGG
rnacentral:rRNA from 1 species